rnacentral:lncRNA from 1 species
UGAAAUCAAUGAACACCCAACCCGGUUUCUUGACACACCCUCCUGCAAUCCCUGCUGCAUUUGCUCAUCAAGGCCAAGCCCCAAGCAACAAGUUAAUGCCUUUCAUGAGUUAUCCAGGAGUUGCCAUGUGGCAAUUCAUGCCACCAGCCGCCGUGGAUACCUCACAGGAUCAUGUACUCCGUCCACCAGUUGCCUAAAUUGGCACUGUACAAUUUUUUGGGAUUCCAUUAUGGCCUAAAAGUUGUAUUCCUUCCCCAUAC